rnacentral:rRNA from 1 species
AGCGAACGCUGGCGGCAGGCUUAACACAUGCAAGUCGAACGGGCAUAGCAAUAUGUCAGUGGCAGACGGGUGCGUAACGCGUGGGAACGUACCUUUUGGUUCGGAACAACACAGGGAAACUUGUGCUAAUACCGGAUAAGCCCUUACGGGGAAAGAUUUAUCGCCGAAAGAUCGGCCCGCGUCUGAUUAGCUAGUUGGUAGGGUAAUGGCCUACCAAGGCGACGAUAAGUAGCUGGUCUGAGAGGAUGAUCAGCCACAUUGGGACUGAGACACGGCCCAAAAUCCUACGGGAGGCAGCAGUGGGGAAUAUUGGACAAUGGGGGAAAGCCUGAUGCAGCCAUGCCGCGUGAGUGAUGAAGGCUGUAGGGUUGUAAAGCUCUUUUGUGCGGGAAGAUAAUGACGGUACCGAAAGAAUAAGCCCCGGCUAACUUCGUG